CUGAUGACACUGUUUGUUUCUUUCCUCUGUAAUUCAGGAUGUUCCAUCUGAUUGAAUUCUUGGACAGCAAAACAGUAGCAGUCGUGCCACAAAGCUGGUACAGUGGUGGUGGCUGCGUUUGGCCAGAUUACCCGAGGGAUGAAAGGGUGGACAAGGCGGUCCGAAGUGCCGAAGAACCUCAGCCUGACUGGCAGACACAUGAUGUCAGAAUAAUUAGAUCAUGCGAUGAUUACUUGGUGGCAAGGCGAUGGUUAACAAAAUAUAUGUCCUGUGACACAUCUGAUCUCCAUUCAGAAGAGGAGGCAAUUCCUAAAAGGAGAAAGCCAAUGCCUGUCCAUUUCUUUGGGGACUCGGAUGCAGACAGCGAGACUGAAAAUCGCCACCCCAAAAAAAAAAAGGGUCCAACCACUAGCAGGACAGUUGCCCCUCCUCCACCUAUUGCCCCUCCUCCACCUAUUGCCCCUCCUCCACCUCUUGCCCCUCCACCUAUUGCCCCUCCUCCACCUCUUGCCCCUCCUCCACCACGGACUUCAUCACCAGCAGGACAGCGAACAAGCCAUGCAGGGUACACGCCAACCUGGCGAGGGGCGAGGUGUGGUUCAGACACCAUUGCCUGCUGCGCUGCUCAAGUUCAAAUGAUGGCCAUGCUGGAGACGCUUACACAGCAGGUCCAUCAAUUAACACAGCAGGUCCAUCAAUUAACUUCCAAAAUUGACAG